GCUUUUUUCCUUCUCUUAAGUUAAUUGUGGACUUAAGUUACAGAUAUACCUACACAAAUAAAUGCACAGUAAGAUGCUACAAUAAAAGAAACUGGAUGGGGGGAAAAAACUUAGAAAAAAAAUGCUGUUCCAUGGCACAACUGCCUAUGUGCUGGGAUGGUGCCAUGGUUGAAAAUCUGCCCCUGUGAGGACCUCUCCACUGCUGCUGGGCCUCACCUCAGUCCAAGCUACUUCCCCUGGUUUAUACCCCCUCAGCUUCUGCUCCAGAAGUCAGUGAAGACUCCAAGGCUUACAUUUAUAUUGUGGAAACCAAGAACUUAUCCCCAAGACCCCAAGACUGGAGCUAAGGUGUACUGUGCCCUGAAGAGAACUCCUCUGAAGAGACUCAUACAGAAAAGCUGA
rnacentral:lncRNA from 1 species